rnacentral:rRNA from 1 species
CCUACGGGUGGCAGCAGUAGGGAAUCUUCCACAAUGGACGAAAGUCUGAUGGAGCAACGCCGCGUGAGUGAAGAAGGGUUUCGGCUCGUAAAGCUCUUUUGGUAGUGAAGAAAGAUAGAGGUAGUAACUGGCCUUUAUUUGACGGUAAUUACUUAGAAAGUCACGGCUAACUACGUGCCAGCAGCCGCGGUAAUACGUGGGUGGCAAGCGUUGUCCGGAUUUAUUGGGCGUAAAGCGAGUGCAGGCGGUUCAAUAAGUCUGAUGUGAAAGCGUUCGGCUCAACCGGAGAAUUGCAUCAGAAACUGUUGAACGUGAGUGCAGAAGAGGAGAGUGGAACUCCAUGUGUAGCGGUGGAAUGCGUAGAUAUAUGGAAGAACACCAGUGGCGAAGGCGGCUCUCUGGACUGCAACUGACGCUGAGGCUCGAAAGCAUGGGUAGCGAACAGGAUUAGAUACCCCUGUAGUC